AAAAGAAUAAAAAGAAAAGCAACACCCCUGAACUUCUCGUCGAUAGUAAGGCAUUGUAAGGCAAAAGAAAAACCCAUCAUCCUCGUUGACUCUCCUCUAUGGCCGUCUCCCUUCCUCCUUGACUCGCCGUUUACCUGCCGACUUACCGUUUUCAGUCAUCUUUCUCAGCCUCGUCACUGUUGGUUCAUCCUCUUUCAUCCCUGCUUCAGAUCUCGCAGCAUUAUAUACUGGAUCCUGACAUUGAAGCAAAAGUGAGAAAAGUUGUUGAAGCCAACUUACAUUAUCCAUAACCUGUGGAGAAGUUUCAAAGCUUACUUGGAUACACCCUUAAGUUCAAAUAAAUACUCAAAAUAGUGAGAAGGGUUAAGAGUCAUCAACACAUAACUCAUAAUGGUUCUUCUUUUUGAACUUCCAGAAGGAUCUUCAUCUUCUUCAUCAACUCAUGGUCAUAAUUCAUCAACUCAGGAUCAUAGAUAUGAUGUAUUUUUAAGUUUUAGAGGUGUUGACACCCGUCUUAGUUUUACUAAUUAUCUGUAUGAGGCUCUUAUGGAUGCCAAUCUCAAUACCUUCUUGGAUGAUGAAGAGAUUGAAACAGGGGAAGAUCUAAAACCUGAAUUAGAGAGUGCUAUUAAGGCAUCUCGGGCUUCUAUUAUUGUGCUGUCUAAGAACUACGCUUCUUCAACAUGGUGUCUGGAUGAACUGGUGUUGAUCCUUGAGCAGUGUAUGACAUCCAACCACAUUGUCAUCCCCAUAUUUUAUCAUGUGGAGCCCACCCAUGUUAGGAAGCAACAGAGUAGCUUUGGAGAUGCAAUGGCUAAGCAUAAACUUAAAAUGGAUGAAGAGACAGAGGAGAAUAAAAGAAAUCAAUGGGGUCAAAAGAUAGAGAGAUGGAAUAAAGCACUUAUCGAAGUUGCUAAUUUAAAAGGAAAUGACAUCAAUGGAAGGUUUGAGACAGAGUUUAUUGAAGAAAUUGUGAAGGACAUCUACCGUAGAUUACAUGUACCCUUAAAAAGUGCUCAACCUCUAUUUAUUGGGAUGGACUAUUCCAUUAACUUCAUCACUUCAUGGUUGAAAGAUGGAUCCUCACAUACGGUAGACAUACUCACCAUUUCGGGUCUAGGCGGGAUCGGGAAGACAUCUUUAGCCAAACAUGUCUAUGGGCUAUAUUGUCAUGAAUUCAACAAAAGCAGCUAUAUUGAAGAUAUCACUAGGAGAUGUGAUGGAAAGUAUAAUGGGCUACUUGAUAUACAAAAACAACUGUGCGGUGACAUUUCAAAAACAAGUUCAAUUCAAGUUUAUGAUGUUUCAAAAUACACAUCAAUGAUAGAGAACGUAGUAGCUCGUAAAAGGUUGUUCCUUGUUCUUGAUGAUAUCAAUAGUAUUGAUCAGUUGGAUGCAUUACUUGGAAGCAAAGGUUUUCAUCCCGGAAGCAAAGUUAUAAUAACAACAAAGGACAAAUGCUUAACAGAGAGUUGUGCACUAUUUAAAACAAACAUUAAACCCAAGCAUGUAGAACACUUCCUUGAAGGCUUAGAUGAGACUGAAUCACGACAACUUUUGUGUUCCCAUGCAUUCAUGUGCAACCAUCCCAAGGAAGGUUAUGAAGAGGUGUCAGCUAAGCUUUUGGAGUAUUGUCAAGGACAUCCAUUGGCUCUUGAAGUUUUGGGCAAGGUUCUUCAUAAUCGAGGUGUGGCGUAUUGGGAAGGGUGCAUGAAAGGGCUAAAGAAAGAAACAAAUGAUCGUAUAAAUAAUGUCUUGAGAAUGAGCUUCAACUCUUUGCCAUCCAAAAACGAUAAGGACUUGUUUAAGCAUAUUGCUUGUUUUUUUGUUGGAAUAGAUAAAGAUCUUAGCGAAACAAUAUUGGAGGCAUGUGAUAUAAACACAAGAUCCGGAAUUACGAAUCUCAUUGAUAAAUGUCUUCUUAGUAUUGGACGGAAUAAUGAAUUGAAGAUGCAUCAGUUGGUUCAAGAGAUGGGCAGAUUCGAAGUACAUCAAGAAUCACCUGAUAAGCCAUGGAAGCGAAGUCGAUUAUGGUGUCAUAAGGAGUCAUUCAGAGUGUUGAAACAAAAAAAGGGUAAGGGAAAUCUUCUAGGCCUUUCCCUUGACAUGUACAUGCUUGAGAAAGAGAAGUUGAGAGGAUCAUUUGAGCUGAAGACAGAUGCCUUGAGUAACAUGGAUAAUCUUAUGAUACUACAACUUAAUUAUGUGCACAUGCAUGGGUCUUAUAAGAACUUUCCAGAAGAAAUAAGAUGGUUAUGUAUGCAUGGGUUUUAUUCAAAGUCUAUACCUUUAAACUUACCUAUAGAGAAUCUUGUUGCUCUUGACAUGUCAUAUAGCAAUAUUGAAUCAUUUGUCGGUUGUUAUAGUAAUCCACAACGACUUGAGAAGAGGCAAAGGUUAGAUGGCUCGUGCUUUAAAGAGAAAAGGUUGUUUGCUUCACUGAAGAUUCUUAAUUUAAGUUUCUGCGAACAACUUCAUAGUGUUGGUGACUUUGACCAACUCUCUGCACUUGAGAGGUUAAUACUUAGAAAUUGCAUUGGUUUGGUUGAUGUUUGUGAAUCAAUUGGGCAAUGUGUUGAGCUUAUCCUCAUCGAUCUGAGUUACUGCAAGAAGCUUGAAAAACUUCCAAGAAAUAUAGGCAUGUUAAAGAAGGUUAAAACAAUGUUGCUAGAUGGUUGUGAUCUUGGUGAAUCUGGAAUCAAGAAUCUGGAUAUGGAUUCACUGGAAAUGUGCACGGUUACCAACAUUGGCAUAAACAGAGCCUUUAUGGGUUGUAUACCACGUGAUUUGAAGUCCUUUGCAAUGUCUUUACCGAGGUCUUUAGUAAAAUUAUCACUUAAAAAGAACAAGUUGUCAAAUGAAUCCUUUCCCAUGGACUUUAGUUGCCUAUCCAUGUUAAAGGAAUUAGAUUUAGAUGGCAAUCCUUUCAAUUCCAUGCCUAGUUGUGUGAGAACCCUUCCUAGACUUGAGAUACUUUGGAUGAAUAAGUGUAAAAAUUUGAAGUCAGUCGAGUAUCCUCCAAGUACACUAAAAAAGUUGUUUCUUAAUGCUAUUGAUCAUUAUCAUACAAACAAAGUUGUAUUUGUUCCAGAAAUGUCCCCACUCCAGUUAUCAAUGGACUGGUUAGAGUGGAAAUAUUCUUCACUUGAGUUGAACGAUUUCGAAGUUGAAGGUAUGAUCAAAAUCCAAGAAAUGAUGAGUGUUGAUGAAAAGGUGUUACGUAGCUUGGGCUGGACUAAUUUAGACUUCCUCAACGAAAGGCACGUGGGAACUAAUCCUUCAGAAUCUGAAAUCCAGAUGAUGUAUUAUGAAUUUGGAAUAUUCAGCACAAUGUAUGAGGCGGAGGAGAUGCCGAGUUGGUUUAGGCAUAGAAGCGUAGGGCCAGUAAUAUCAUUUACCAUCCCAUCAUCAUCUCCAAACAACAUCCUUACAGGGCUCAACAUCUGCUCUCUGCACACAUUAAACCUUAUUGAUGUGGAGUUGUAUUUAUCAGAUGAUGACCUUUUGCCUUGGAUGCCAAUUAUGACAAUUACUAAUAUUACAAAAAACCGUACGUGGAUAUAUGAACGCUACCUUGACAGAUUUAAUGAAAUUCUGGAUUUUUGGGUGAUAUUAAGUCAUUGGAUGUUUCGGAAGAAUGAGAUGGAGGCCGGUGACCACAUUACUAUCACUGUUACACCGCAGUUGCCUGAACCUCUUACAGAAGCAUAUAAUGAACUUGUAAAGGAGUGUGGGGUGAGUCUUGUGUAUGAAGAUGGAGAGAAGAAGGAUGAAGAAGAAGAUGUGUUGGGUUAUUACAAGUCAUGGAAUCACAUAAUUGGUGGAGAUCUCUCUCCUUUUCAAACAACAACUGGAGAAUACCUCUUAAACAGAUCACAGUUUUUUCCUUAUGAUGUUACAGUGUCUUCAUAUCAUUGUAAAUUUGUUCCAGACGGCCUCGACUAUCAAGAUCAAAAGGAAGAAUAUUGGUUCAGAGCUUUAUCCCCAAGGAAGCCUGACAUACUUGGUCGUGCAUGUGAGGAUGUAACAAGAUAAAAGGAGUCAUAAUCUUGCAAUCAAUGCUUGGAAAUGGCAAUAUCAAAAUGUGGUUGGGCUGAUAUGAUGGGAAUCUGUCUAUUUUUCUCUACCUAUUUAAUCUUAGAGUCAGGAAUUAUGGAUCCCUAUUUCAUCCAUUUAGGGCUCUAAAUUCAGGGUUUUUACUUGUUAUCAAGGAUAAGGGGGAAUCUUCAGGUUCUCGUCCUUAACAUGAAAAUACUUGAGAAAGAGAGGCUGCAGAUGGGUAACCUAAUACUACGGUAACUCAAUGAGUUAUAUCCUAAUCUUUUCCAGAAUAAUUAAGAUGGUUUAGUUUUUGUCACCUCUGGUAACGAUUUAUCUUUUUGGUUAUUGUUUUUGAUAGCUGUAUAUUUGAUUGCCGAAAACAGAGGAAAACUAUAUAAAUGGUUUUUCAGUUGAUUAAUACACGUGUAAAGUCGUAAUGUUGUUUUUAUUACUUUAUAUGUUAGUUAUUUUGUUGAUUGUGAUUGAAAGAAAAGACUAAAAUGUGAUUGCUGAGUUGCUA